GAAGGAAGGAAGGAAGGAAGGAAGGAAGGAAGGAAGGAAGGAAGGAAGGAAGGAAGAUUGGAAGCUGAUUGGAAGGUUGCAGUAUCAGUGUUCUAAAUCAUGAAGAAGUACAAUAAGUAGUCCUCUCUUUUUCAGUGUUUUGGGGUGCUGCUGCCAUGUAAGACGAAGGACAUGAAGGAGAUUCAGAAACAUCAUUAGCUUAUUCCUAAGUUAAUGUGAAGAUCUGGGAACUAUUGGGUGAUAAGCAAGAUGCUGCUAUGAAUAGUGGUUAUAUGUCUACAGAUGACAUGGAUAGUGGGUUUUUU